rnacentral:rRNA from 1 species
UUACCGAGUUUACAACUCCCAAACCCCUGUGAACAUACCUAUACGUUGCCUCGGCGGAUCAGCCCGCGCCCCGUAAAACGGGACGGCCCGCCCGAGGACCCCUAAACUCUGUUUUUAGUGGAACUUCUGAGUAAAACAAACAAAUAAAUCAAAACUUUCAACAACGGAUCUCUUGGUUCUGGCAUCGAUGAAGAACGCAGCAAAAUGCGAUAAGUAAUGUGAAUUGCAGAAUUCAGUGAAUCAUCGAAUCUUUGAACGCACAUUGCGCCCGCCAGUAUUCUGGCGGGCAUGCCUGUUCGAGCGUCAUUUCAACCCUCAAGCUCAGCUUGGUGUUGGGACUCGCGGUAACCCGCGUUCCCCAAAUCGAUUGGCGGUCACGUCGAGCUUCCAUAGCGUAGUAAUCAUACACCUCGUUACUGGUAAUCGUCGCGGCCACGCCGUAAAACCCCAACUUCUGAAUGUUGACCUCGGAUCAGGUAGGAAUACCCGCUGAACUUAAGCAUAUCA